GUCCAAAGAAAGCCACAAAGCACGUCUCUAAACAAGGCUUCCAUUCCUGGUUCGUGUGUGUGCUCUGCCUCUCUUUCAGGAAACAUAAUGAGACUUCAGUACAGUUGAAAUGCUUGGAUUUGUGUAUUAUUUUUCUUAAAGAUUUAUUUUAUUUAUUUGGAAGUCAGAGUUACAAAGAGGCAGAGGCAGAGAGAGACAGAGGUCUUCCAUCUUAUGGUUCACUCCCCAGAUGGCCACAACUACUGGAGCUGUGCAGAUCUGAAGCCAGGAAUGUAGAGUUUCUUCCAGGUCUAACACAGGUGCAAGGACUUGGGCCAUCUUCUACUGCUUUCACAGGCCAUAGCAGAGAGCUGGAUCAGAAGUGGAGCAGCCAGGACUUGAACCCAUGCCCAUAUAGGAUGCCGGCACUGCAGGCAGUGGCUUUAUCUGCAACACCACAGUGCCAGCCCCCAGGAUUCGUGUAUUAUUAAUGAGUUUCGUGUGGUACAGCAAUGUUCACUCAAAAAUGAAAACCUGAAACACACAUAUAAAUGUUAGCACACUAGGGAAAACUGUUUACAGUUUGCUGUGCAGGAUGACGAUUGCUAUUCAGAUCUGUGUUCAUACCAUCCCUCAACUACAUUUAAUCUGCCUGACUUGACAUCAGAGAUUUUACAAUAAAAUCGUACUCAUCAUUCAGGAAAGCUGCAGCCUGCUCUGGCUGUUGAAUAGCCGUUGGUCUGAUGUGAGCACAUGGCUUGUAUCCAGCAAACCCUGUUCUUCACAGGCCUUGCACACCCCCAAGGCGAAUGGCAGCAUCUGUGUGCCUAGCAGCACAGUGGCAUCCCGACUGCACUCUCUGUGAAGACGGGGACCCGGGCCCCUCACCAGCGCCACCCUCCUGCUUUGCAUGGGGAGUCCUUCCUCCUCGUUAUUUAACGUUUAUACAUUGGGGAUUUUUUUUUUCAUGCUUUCUCUCCAGCUCGGAACUUGUGUCUCCCUCUGUGAGCUUGAGCAGAUUCUGUGGGAUGUCUUCACUUGCACACUGGCCCUCAAGUUCCCUCCCUCCCACGCAGGAAUAGACACCCUCUGGCCCUGCUGCUGUCUGCCACAUCUCUACAGGUGGCCGGCGGCCCUGCAGUCCAGGGCGGCCGCCGCCGCUGCUGCAAACCGGUCUGGCUUCCCCGCAGAGCGCGCGGGGAUAGAACAAGGGGGUGGAGAGAAAGGGGAAGAGCCUGGGCGGCCGGCGGGCGGGGCCUGCAGCCUCCGGGAGCCGCGGCACUGCGCGCAGCCGGCUCGCCCUGCGCCUCGCUCCCACCCCGGCGCGCGCUGCGCGGGGAUCCGCGCCCGACCCGGAGGCGCCGCUGCUUCCCGGCCCCCGGUCCCGAACGCGCCGCUGCCAGGCAGGCUGCGCCGGGUCUCCGAGCCUCUCCGAGCUGCCGGGUCUCCGGCGGCCCCUGGCUGCUCCGUCUGGCCAGGGACUGCCGGGGGAGGAAGGGGAAAGCGGGGACACACACCGGCCGCGGCGCGCGCGCAUUGCACACUCGCAGUCGCGCGCCGCCGCCGCCGCCGAGGCGCGUCCGGGGCGAGUUUGGCCCCGCGGCUGCCGCCCCGGCACCUGCCCGCCCGCGGCGCUGCCCCCGGCCCCGCCCCGCCGCCCCUCCCCGCCGCCGGGCUGCACUGCGCUCCCGCCGCCCAGGGGAAGCAGCAACAUCCUCACAACUUGCGGACUGUGGCGCAACUGGUCUCGGCCGCCAAGGCCCCCGACGCUGCCCGGCUGAGACUGCAGCCAGCGAGCUUGUCAGUUGUUGUUAACCCCACGUUUGAAAACCUUUGGAGAUGUUACUGUUCUCAAGAGACACACCGUAGCCUGUCCAGCUCCCAGUCAGUCUUCACUGCGGGCCACACGCCCCCUCCCUUCCCCUCCUGGUUCCUGCCUGGCAGCUGGCUGCGUAGCCCCUGCUGCCCGCUUCCUAGAAGGUUCUACACCAUACCACUUAGCGUUCUACUUCGCGUUUCGGGAGAUGGCCUCUUCCUGGGGAAAGCCCUCCCUGAUUCGGUCAAGCCCCACUGCCCGCCAUAA
ensembl:lncRNA